AUACAAAUUUUCAGGGAUACAAUUCAGCCCAUAGCAGGAAGUAAGUAAAUUAUAUAGUAUACAAGAAGAUACUAAGUGCUAGGGGGAAAGGUAAAGAAGAGAAAGAGAAUAGGGAAUAUGGUGGCAGUAUUAAAUUUUAAAUAGAAUGAACACUUGAGAAAACAUCAUUCAAGCAAAGACUUUUUAAAGAUAAGGAAAUGAGUUAUGUGGAUGACUACUACUGGUUGAUGAUGGAAACCCUACAAUUUAGACUUAGAACUUGUGUUACUGUAUAAUCUGAUAACUUUUGUAUGCAAGUGCAAGGAUCCUGAGGCAAGAGCUUACCUGAAGUAAUCAAGGAGCAGCAAGGAACACAAUACCAGGAGUGAAGGUAGAAAUCUCAAGAAGGCAGCUGGACAAAGGAACCUGAAGGUCAGAAGAAGUCCAAGAUGAAGAUAUACAAUCGAAAUUGUCACCAGCUUUUAGAUGGCAUUUAAAGUCUUGAAAUUAAAUGAGAUAGCCAAUGGAA